AUACGUAGGGGGCGAGCGUUGUCCGGAAUGAUUGGGCGUAAAGGGCGCGUAGGCGGCCUGUUAAGUCUGGAGUGAAAGUCCUGUUUUCAAGAUGGGAAUUGCUUUGGAUACUGAUGGGCUUGAGUGCAGGAGAGGUUAUCGGAAUUCCCGGUGUAGCGGUGAAAUGCGUAGAGAUCGGGAGGAACACCAGUGGCGAAGGCGGGUAACUGGACUGCAACUGACGCUGAGGCGCGAAAGUGUGGGGAGCAAACAGGAUUAGAUACCCUGGUAGUCCACACUGUAAACGAUGAAUGCUAGGUGUAAGAGGUAUCGACCCCUUUUAUGCCGGAGUUAACACAAUAAGCAUUCCGCCUGGGGAGUACGGCCGCAAGGUUGAAACUCAAAUGAAUUGGCGGGG
rnacentral:rRNA from 1 species